GUGCUCACUUUGUUAGCGCAGCUACUGAAAGCUGGAAUGAUACAGAGAGGUUUAGCAGGGCCCCCGUGCAAGGAUGACAUGCAAAUCUGUGAAGUGUUCCGUAUUUUU